rnacentral:rRNA from 1 species
GACGCUCACCACUUUGUGGUUCAUGACUGGGGUGAAGUCGUAACAAGGUAGCCCUAGGGGAACCUGGGGCUGGAUCACCUCCUUAUACGAAGAUACC